rnacentral:rRNA from 1 species
GCUUAACGCGAAGAACCUUACCUGGGCUAGAAAGCGUAAGAACCUUGGUGAAAACUGAGGGUGCCCUUCGGGGAACGUUACGAUUAGGUGCUGCAUGGCUGUCGUCAGCUCGUGUCGUGAGAUGUUGGGUUAAGUCCCGUAACGAGCGCAACCCUUGUCCUUAGUUGCCAUCAGGUUAUGCUGGGCACUUUAAGGAGACUGCCGGUGAUAAACCGGAGGAAGGUGGGGAUGACGUCAAGUCCUCAUGGCCCUUACAGGUAGGGCUACACACGUGCUACAAUGGGCAGUACAGAGGGAAGCCAACCCGCGAGGGGGAGGCGAAUCUCAUAAGACUGUUCGUAGUCCGGAUUGGAGUCUGCAACUCGACUCCAUGAAGUUAGGUAAGUACGCUAGUAAAUCGCGGAGUCAGAAUGCCGCGGUG